rnacentral:rRNA from 1 species
AGAGUUUGAUCAUGGCUCAGGACGAACGCUGGCGGCGUGCCUAAUACAUGCAAGUAGAACGCUGAAGAGAGGAGCUUGCUCUUCUUGGAUGAGUUGCGAACGGGUGAGUAACGCGUAGGUAACCUGCCUUGUAGCGGGGGAUAACUAUUGGAAACGAUAGCUAAUACCGCAUAACAAUGGAUGACACAUGUCAUUUAUUUGAAAGGGGCAAUUGUUCCACUACAAGAUGGACCUGCGUUGUAUUAGCUAGUAGGUGAGGUAAUGGCUCACCUAGGCGACGAUACAUAGCCGACCUGAGAGGGUGAUCGGCCACACUGGGACUGAGACACGGCCCAGACUCCUACGGGAGGCAGCAGUAGGGAAUCUUCGGCAAUGGGGGCAACCCUGACCGAGCAACGCCGCGUGAGUGAAGAAGGUUUUCGGAUCGUAAAGCUCUGUUGUAAGUCAAGAACGGGUGUGAGAGUGGAAAGUUCACACUGUGACGGUAGCUUACCAGAAAGGGACGGCUAACUACGUGCCAGCAGCCGCGGUAAUACGUAGGUCCCGAGCGUUGUCCGGAUUUAUUGGGCGUAAAGCGAGCGCAGGCGGUUUGAUGAGUCUGAAGUUAAAGGCUGUGGCUCAACCAUAGUUCGCUUUGGAAACUGUCAAACUUGAGUGCAGAAGGGGAGAGUGGAAUUCCAUGUGUAGCGGUGAAAUGCGUAGAUAUAUGGAGGAACACCGGUGGCGAAAGCGGCUCUCUGGUCUGUAACUGACGCUGAGGCUCGAAAGCGUGGGGAGCGAACAGGAUUAGAUACCCUGGUAGUCCACGCCGUAAACGAUGAGUGCUAGGUGUUGGAUCCUUUCCGGGAUUCAGUGCCGCAGCUAACGCAUUAAGCACUCCGCCUGGGGAGUACGACCGCAAGGUUGAAACUCAAAGGAAUUGACGGGGGCCCGCACAAGCGGUGGAGCAUGUGGUUUAAUUCGAAGCAACGCGAAGAACCUUACCAGGUCUUGACAUCCCGAUGCUAUUUCUAGAGAUAGAAAGUUACUUCGGUACAUCGGUGACAGGUGGUGCAUGGUUGUCGUCAGCUCGUGUCGUGAGAUGUUGGGUUAAGUCCCGCAACGAGCGCAACCCCUAUUGUUAGUUGCCAUCAUUCAGUUGGGCACUCUAGCGAGACUGCCGGUAAUAAACCGGAGGAAGGUGGGGAUGACGUCAAAUCAUCAUGCCCCUUAUGACCUGGGCUACACACGUGCUACAAUGGUUGGUACAACGAGUUGCGAGUCGGUGACGGCGAGCCAAUCUCUUAAAGCCAAUCUCAGUUCGGAUUGUAGGCUGCAACUCGCCUACAUGAAGUCGGAAUCGCUAGUAAUCGCGGAUCAGCACGCCGCGGUGAAUACGUUCCCGGGCCUUGUACACACCGCCCGUCACACCACGAGAGUUUGUAACACCCGAAGUCGGUGAGGUAACCUUUUGGAGCCAGCCGCCUAAGGUGGGACAGAUGAUUGGGGUGAAGUCGUAACAAGGUA